AGCUUUGUGCAGUGGCAGUAUUAUAGCCAGUGAGGUGUAUCCAAGGCAUGAUUGUUGCUAAUUGAAAACAUUUUAGAAUUUAUUUCUUCACUUCAUCUGAUUACUGUGUAACUGAUGUGGUCAUGUAACAUG
ensembl:snRNA U4 U4 spliceosomal RNA